GAUGAACGCUGGCGGCGUGCUUAACACAUGCAAGUCGAACGGGAAACCUUUUAUUGAAGCUUCGGCAGAUUUAGCUGGUUUCUAGUGGCGGACGGGUGAGUAACGCGUGGGUAACCUGCCUUAUACAGGGGGAUAACAACCAGAAAUGGUUGCUAAUACCGCAUAAGCGCACAGGACCGCAUGGUCCGGUGUGAAAAACUCCGGUGGUAUAAGAUGGACCCGCGUUGGAUUAGCUAGUUGGCAGGGUAACGGCCUACCAAGGCGACGAUCCAUAGCCGGCCUGAGAGGGUGAACGGCCACAUUGGGACUGAGACACGGCCCAGACUCCUACGGGAGGCAGCAGUGGGGAAUAUUGCACAAUGGGGGAAACCCUGAUGCAGCGACGCCGCGUGAAGG
rnacentral:rRNA from 1 species